GACGAACGCUGGCGGCGGGCUUAACACAUGCAAGUCGAACGGAAAGGCCCUGCGUUUGUGGGGUUCUCGAGUGGCGAACGGGUGAGUAACACGUGAGUAACCUGCCCUUGACUUUGGGAUAACUUCAGGAAAGUGGGGCUAAUACCGUAUAGGAUCUCCUGUUGCAUGGUGGGGGGUGGAAAGUCUCGGCUGGUGGGGAUGGACUUGCGGCUGAUCAGCUAGUUGGUGGGGUGGUGGCUCACCCAGGCGACGACCGGUAGCUGGCCUGAGAGGGUGAUCCGCCACCCUGGAACUGAGACACGGGCCAGACUCCUACGGGAGGCAGCAGUGGGGAAUAUUGGACAAUGGGCGCAAGCCUGCUCCAGCCCUACCGCGUGGGUGAAGAAGGCCUUCGGGUUGUAAAGCCCUUUUGUUGGGAAAGAAAAGCAGCAGGUUAAUACCCCGCUGUUCUGACGGGACCCAAAGAAUAAGCACCGGCUAACUUCGUG
rnacentral:rRNA from 1 species